UACUACCUACGGGACGCAGCAGUCGAGAGUCAUUCACAAUGGGGGAAACCCUGAUGGUGCGACGCCGCGGGGGGGAAUGAAGGUCUUCGGAUUGUAAACCCCUGUCAUGUGGGAGCAAAUUAAAAAGAUAGUACCACAAGAGGAAGAGACGCCUAACUCUGUGCCAGCAGCCGCGGUAAUACAGAGGUCUCAAGCGUUGUUCGGAAUCACUGGGCGUAAAGCGUGCGUAGGCUGUUUCGUAAGUCGUGUGUGAAAGGCGCGGGCUCAACCCGCGGACGGCACAUGAUACUGCGAGACUAGAGUAA
rnacentral:rRNA from 1 species